rnacentral:rRNA from 1 species
UACGUAGGGGGCAAGCGUUGUCCGGAAUUAUUGGGCGUAAAGAGCGCGUAGGCGGUCUGAUAAGUCGGUUGUGAAAGUCGGGGGCUCAACCCUCGGAUGCCGAUCGAUACUGUCAGGCUAGAGUCCGGAAGAGGCGAGUGGAAUUCCUGGUGUAGCGGUGAAAUGCGCAGAUAUCAGGAGGAACACCAAUGGCGAAGGCAGCUCGCUGGGACGUGACUGACGCUGAGACGCGAAAGCGUGGGGAGCAAACAGG